AAUAUUGCACAAUGGGGGAAACCCUGAUGCAGCCAUGCCGCGUGUGUGAAGAAGGCCUUCGGGUUGUAAAGCACUUUCAGUAGGGAGGAAGGUAGUGUAGUUAACACCUGCAUUAUUUGACGUUACCUACAGAAGAAGCACCGGCUAACUCCGUGCCAGCAGCCGCGGUAAUACGGAGGGUGCGAGCGUUAAUCGGAAUUACUGGGCGUAAAGCGCAUGCAGGCGGCCUGUUAAGUCAGAUGUGAAAGCCCGGGGCUUAACCUCGGAAUUGCAUUUGAAACUGGCAGGCUAGAGUCUUGUAGAGGGGGGUAGGAAUUUCAGGUGUAGCGGUGAAAUGCGUAGAGAUCUGAAGGAAUACCAGUGGCGAAGGCGGCCCCCUGGACAAAGACUGACGCUCAGAUGCGAAAGCGUGGGGAGCAAACAGGAUUAGAUACCCUGGUAG
rnacentral:rRNA from 1 species